UCACUUCACAUCUGAAUUGAUUAUUUUCUCUUCCUCUCCAUUAUGAUUUUAUUUCUUUUGUUUUAUUUGUGGUGGUGUUAAUGUUUGUGGGUUUUGGAUUUGCAGAUGGUGUUGCAGCUUACUGAUUUAGUUCAAAUUUGUAGAUGGUGUUUGAAGCCAUUGGUUGUAUAGUUGCAGGUUGGUCUGUGGCGGCUGAAUGUGUUGGGGUGGAGUUGCUAUUUUUUUUUUUUUUUUGAAUGUGAGCAUGUUGGGUUUGAUUUUGAAUUUUUUUAGGAAUGGAUUUCUCUCGGAUUUGAUUGGGUUCUCAAAUGCUGUAACAUACCAAUGAAACUAAGAUCCUCUCUGGAUGAUAUGGACUACCCCAAAGAAAAAAAACGAAAGAAAUCCAACGAAAGUCAUUUUUCCAAACGUCCCAUGAUGGUUGCGAAAAUCCAAGGGAAGUGAGGACUACUUUAAUCCUGCAGAUAUUUCUUUUGGUCUUUAUCAUAAGGGCAAAAGAGAAUUCCAGGAAAUAGACACGAUCAAAGAUGAGGUCAUGCUCAAGUUUAUUAAAGAAUCUGGCAAAUCAAUUUCGGAAUUUUACCAUAAGGUACGUAACAUGAAUCAUCUCACUAGAGCUUGUUGCGUUGAUUGUUCGGAAGAAAAGUAUUGUGAUGAUACAUUUGCAUUGAUUAUGCUCCGAGAUGGUUGUUUCAUUUCAUAUUUAUUGGAUAUUGUGGUAGAUCAGAAGUGGGAUAAGCUAUUAGAGCUAUUUGAUAAUCGUGGAAGAUAAUUGGGAUUUGGUUUUAUUGGAGAACCAAAUUCCAUUGGCAAUUUUGGAACGUUCGAGGAGCCUUAGAUACAAUAAUAAAAAAGUAGUACCAAAAACAAUCAAGCAAUUCAUUUAUUUUGUAUAUUUGGGCAUAUCGCUUCGAGUGUAGCUCUUUCACAUCAUCAGGAUUGGCAAUGAGUGCAUUCAGGAAACAGAAGUAGAUGAAAGAACAACUUUUGUAACAAAAUUGAUAUCCUUUGAAUGGAGUCCUGCAUGUAAUACAAAAGUUGUUUUUUCA